rnacentral:lncRNA from 1 species
UAUAUAUAUAUAUAUAUAUAUAUAUAUAUAUAUAUAUAUUUAUAUUUAUAUGAAUGUAUAAAAUAGAAUUAAAAUAUAUAUAUAUAAAUAAGCAUGUAUAUUACAUAUAUGCACGUAUAUGUAAUAACUUGCUAAACGCUCAUCCAUAAUAUCACUAGCAAAAAGUAUAUCAUACUACUACUGCUGAUCACUAAUAUUAUAUUAUUUUAUUUCUUUUUUUUUUUAUUAAUUAGUUAAAAAAAAAAAAAAAAAAAAAAAAAAAAUUACUAUGGUGUGCAAUGAUAAGCUAACUAGCCGUACCUUUAUAACGAUCCCAAUUUAUAGUAACAAUGGCUGUAGUAUUAGGAAGUAGGUACUACUGGGGAAAGUGUAAAAAAAAAAAAUGGAAGAAUAAAUAGCUAACCAAAGAAGUAGCUAUAUAAGUACAUAACUACGCAUAUAUAUUAUAGCAUAGGUAGAUAAGUAGAUAAAAUAACAAUGAUAGGAGGUAAAGUAAAUGCAACAUCAACAAUUAGAGCUUAAUAAAAUAGUAACAUAUGGCAUAAAAAUACACAGUAUAAUAUGGUUAGUAUCUUUUCUUAUUUCACUUAGCAUGGUAUGUGCACACACAGUUUUAUUCAUUCAUAUGUUUGUGUCCGUUUAUUUUGUUUUACUUUAUUUUAACUUAUUUUAUUUUACUUCUUUUUCUCCAAUCCCUUUUCUCAAGCAAAAAAUAAAAAAAAAAAUGUAAUCAUAUGUCCUAUUAUACAUGAUAAAUAUAUGCUAAAAAAAAAAAAAAAAAUUAACAAAAAAAAAAAUCAAACAUGUACUUAUAUAUAUUAUUUUUUUUUUACUAGCACUUUUUUCCUGCUAACUUUUUUUUUUUUUUUUUUUUUUUUUUAUCACCAUUUACAGAUUUAUUUAUUUUUUGUUUUUAUUAUUCAAACGGAUAAACAUAUAUAUAUAUAUAUAUUAUGUGUAUACAUAUUGACUCUGAAAAAAAGGCACUUCCAAAAAAUCUAUCACCAUGGAAAACACAAACAGAAUCGACUACGGGCUACCAAACGAUGAAGAUGUUGAAGAGUUUUUAUCAAGAGUAGACUCAGUAACGUCUAAGAUAAAAGAUAUACUAGAAGAUAAAAUAAAAGUGAGUGACCUAGAAAAAGAAGAAAAAAAGAUUUUAUUAGAAAAGAAAAUAAAAGAAAUGAAAGAAAAGGAAAAGGAAGAGAAAAAAAAAAAAGAAUUUCAAAUAGGUAAACAAGGAAAAGGAGUAUCAAACGAUUAUUUAUUUUUUUGUCGGUAUUGUUUUGUAGAGUAUAGUUAUAAAAUAACUAAUUGUGUGAGGUGCAAUAAUUUGGUGAUAAGUAAAGAAGAGAGAAAAAAAGAAUUACAAAAAAAAGUAGAAGAAUAUAAAAAGUUGAAAAACGAAAGGGAUAUGAAAAAGGGUCUAUGGAUUGAAUAUUUAAAAAAAACUGAUAAUCAAAAAAAAGAUACAUCAAAACAAAAUAUGAAUGUUACGAAUUAUGAAAAAUGGAACUACUAUUAUCCAAGUUCAGAUUCGUUUGAUGAAGAUGAAAAGACAAUUCUAAGUACUCCUAAAAAUGACGCAAAUUUUAAAUUAUUAGAAGAACAAAUAAAUAAAGAUAUUCACAAAAAAAAUGAAAAUAAACGAGUUGCUAAUUUGAUUAGAGGACAAGGAAACGAAUAUAUGAAACAGAAAAAAUACAUGCAAGCUAUUGAAUCUUAUAAAAAUGUUAUUAACAUAUGUAAAGAUGAUUUAGAUGCUCAUAACAAUUUAUCAUUAUGUUAUAUCAAAAUAUAUGCAUAUACUAAAUCUAUUAAACAUUGUAAUAUUGUAUUAGACUAUUAUGAUGUAUUUAAAUCCAGUUUUAAUAUUAAAAAAACUAUAAUUUAUAAAAGUUAUGCUAGAAAAGGAUUAGCAUUAUUUAAAUUAUACAACUUUAAUAAUGCGUUGGACUGUUUUCGGUUAGCCCAUAACUUAGGUAUAUAUGAUGAUAAAGAAGUCCAACGAUAUAUUGGUAUAUGUGAGAAAAUUGUGAAAGAUCAAGGAAGGGUUAGUCUCGACUUAUGUAAAAAAUCUAAAGUGUCAAUCGAAAUGGCUUGUCAAGGUACACAUGUGAAAAGUGCUGAAGUGUGUAAUGACACAAGGGAAUGGGCAGUGACAAAACGGGAUAAAGAAGCGACCAACCGGGAUAAAGAAGCGACAAAACGGGAUAAAGAAGCGACAAAACGGGAUAAAGAAGCGACAAAACGGGAAGAUUGUGAGCCAAAUAGUACCAAUAGUAACAUCAGCAGUAACAGUAAAAACAAGCGAUUAUUAACAAUACUAACCGAAAUAUCAUCAAUUGAUGUAAAAACACAAAUGCAUUUUCUUCUAAAACGUUUAAAUAUGGUCAAAAAAAUAAUUUUCAAAAACGAAAUUGAAAGAUUGAGGUUUUGUUCGUCCGUGUUUCUUUUUAAGCAGGCAAAACAAGGUAACAACCACACGUGUGCUACUAACAUUGUAGAAGAAGAAUUUGAAUCAAGCAUUUUAAAAGGGUUUGAACAUACUACUAAAGAAGGACUAAACAAUAUUCGAAGAAGAAAAGAAAAUGAUACGAUAUGUUCUCACAAAAGAAAAACCUUUUUAACUUUUGUUGUAGAAAAAUUAAAUGAUAUUCACACUUAUGUAAAAAAAGGUUUUGAUAAAAGUGAAGUGGUAACACCAAACAUUAUAAAAGAAGAUGAAGAAAUAAAAAUAAAAAUGUGUAUAAAAAAAUGCUGUUAUACAAUAUUUGAUAUUUUAAUUUAUAUACUUAAAACUAAUUUUUAUUAUUCUGAUUUUUGUAUAAAUGCAUUAAAUGCAAUUCUAUUUUUUUAUUUUUCCAAAAAGUGUAAUAGUGUUAAAUGCACACGUCUGUUAUAUUACAUCAGUCAAAAUGAUGAGGCGAAAAAAUAUUUUUAUGAGCAUAUACAGGUAACAGAACAAAAUUUGGAUAUGUUACACAAAUUAAUAAUUAAAAUAAAUAAAUAUAUAAUAAAACAAAGGAUAAAAUAUUCAAAACAAAACGAAUACAUAUUCCAAAUGGUUAAACAGAGGAUUUGUAAUUGUGACUAUGUUAAAAAAGUAUUUAAUAUCGACGUAAAAACGGUUUUAAACAAAAUGGAAUAUGACGUGAGGACAAAAGUAGGGGAGUCGGUGGAGGUUACUAGUGAUAGUAGUGGCAGUGUUAGUGA